rnacentral:rRNA from 1 species
GAUGAACGCUAGCUACAGGCUUAACACAUGCAAGUCGCGUGGCAGCAUGGGGGUUGCUUGCACUCCCCGAUGGCGACCGGCGCACGGGUGAGUAACGCGUAUCCAACCUGCCCUUCACCACGGGAUAACCCGGCGAAAGUCGGACUAAUACCGUAUGUUGUCCAUUGACGGCAUCCGAUUUGGACGAAAGGCUUGGCGGUGAGGGAUGGGGAUGCGUCCGAUUAGCCAGACGGCGGGGUAACGGCCCACCGUGGCUACGAUCGGUAGGGGUUCUGAGAGGAAGGUCCCCCACACUGGAACUGAGACACGGUCCAGACUCCUACGGGAGGCAGCAGUGAGGAAUAUUGGUCAAUGGGCGUAAGCCUGAACCAGCCAAGUAGCGUGCAGGAUGACGGCCCUAUGGGUUGUAAACUGCUUUUAUGCGGGGAUAAAGUGGCCCACGGGUGGGCUUUUGCAGGUACCGCAUGAAUAAGGACCGGCUAAUUCCGUG